AUGAACGCUGGCGGCGUGCCUCAUACCUGCAAGUCGAGCGAACAGACGAGGAGCUUGCUCCUCUGAUGUUAGCGGCGGACGGGUGAGUAACACGUGGAUAACCUACCUAUAAGACUGGGAUAACUUCGGGAAACCGGAGCUAAUACCGGAUAACAUGUUGAACCGCAUGGUUCAACAGUGAAAGACGGUCUUGCUGUCACUUAUAGAUGGAUCCGCGCCGCAUUAGCUAGUUGGUAAGGUAACGGCUUACCAAGGCAACGAUGCGUAGCCGACCUGAGAGGGUGAUCGGCCACACUGGAACUGAGACACGGUCCAGACUCCUACGGGAGGCAGCAGUAGGGAAUCUUCCGCAAUGGGCGAAAGCCUGACGGAGCAACGCCGCGUGAGUGAAGAAGGUCUUCGGAUCGUAAAACUCUGUUAUUAGGGAAGAACAAAUGUGUAAGUAACUAUGCACGUCUUGACGGUACCUAAUCAGAAAGCCACGGCUAACUACGUG
rnacentral:rRNA from 1 species